rnacentral:rRNA from 1 species
UACGGGGGGAGCAAGCGUUGUUCGGAUUUACUGGGCGUAAAGGGCGCGUAGGCGGCGUGACAAGUCACUUGUGAAAUCUCCGGGCUUAACUCGGAACGGUCAAGUGAUACUGUCGUGCUAGAGUACAGGAGGGGCAACUGGAAUUCUCGGUGUAGCGGUGAAAUGCGUAGAUAUCGAGAGGAACACCUGCGGCGAAGGCGGGUUGCUGGGCUGAUACUGACGCUGAGGCGCGAAAGCUAGGGGAGCGAACGGG